GGUUCGUUUGGACGCCUGUUAAACGAUGAUCAUCUCCAUCCAAAUUGUAAGCCAAAAGUCAUUGAGAUAGAUGAGAAGCCAGUUAUUUGCUUUUACUCUCUAAAACCAAUACCUCCAGAUACAGAACUGUUGUGUGAUUAUGGGCCUGGUAACAUGUAUCCUUGGAGAAGAAAGAGGAAGUAAAGGGUAUUGAUGCCAGUUCUUGUGUGGAUGAUGAGGAUCAGAGUGAGGAGGAAAUAGAUGACAGUCAAGACAACCAGAAUUUCCAAACUGUGACUCCAGGGAAGAGGGAGGCAGUAUCUGAUAGCGGAUGCUCCAGAGAAAUGGAUGAGUCUUCAUCCAAGCGACAGAAGUUACAGAAAAGCCAUGGACUUCAUCUGAAAUGAACUCCAUUCACAAACAUUUUUCACACUUUAUUACCAUGUUGAAGGUACCUGGGAAAAAUGAUGUAACACAUGUUUUGAAAAAAAGAUAAAAACCUUUCAAAAAGAAUUUGGAGAAAUGUAAGAGACCAAGUCUACAAUCUAAUAAAAAAAACAGAGAAAAUGUUGAUUUCGAUACUACUUUGAUUGUUCACUAGAAUUGAUGGUAUAUGUAUGAAAAAUGAUAUUUUUGUUUACAGUUCUUACAAAUUACAUAAAUUGUACAUAAAAGAAUUUGUUGAAUCAUUAUCAAAAUAGAUUUUGACAAAUUUCAGCUUUUUAGCUCAUCUGAGUCAAAGGCUCAAGUGAGCCUUUCUGAUAAAAAUGUGUCUGUUUUCUGUCGUUGUUGUGACCGGAAGGUCGGAUGUUUGAAUUCCUGCUGCGACUUGACCUGAGUCAAUAAGAAAUAGGUAGCAACUGUUCCAUGGCCAAGCGCUCAGCACAUUGAAAUAAAAGUUUCGGGUCUUUCAGAUGAGACCUUAAAAACUGAGGUUCCGUGUCAUGGCAGGUGUUGGCAUGAUAAAGAUCCCUCACUGCUCGAUGGCCCUAAGUUCCGAGUAAAGGUCUAAAUUUGAAGCCCUUCACUGGUAUAUGGUGAGGUCUCUAUAUGACUGAAAAAUCUCAUACGGGAUGUAAAACAACAUGCAAUCAAUCUAUCAAUCAUUCAUUGUCAACUUUUUUACAAUAUCAUCUUCUCCAGAACCACUGGGCCAGUUUCAACCAAACUUGGCACAAAUUAGGAAUUCAAGUUUGUGCAAAUGAAGGGCCACACCGUCUUUCAAGGGAAAAUAAUUAAGAAAAAGUAAAAUUAAGUGUUGUCAUUCAAAAAUAUUCUCAAGAACCUUUGGGACAGUAAAGAUGAAACUUAAAUGAAAGCUUUCUGACAAAGUGUAAAUUCAAUUUAUUCAAAUUAUGACCCCCGGGGUAUUGGUGGAGCCAUUAUGGGCAAUCAAAGUUUUACAUAGGAAUACAUAGGAAAAAUCUUUAAGAUAUUCUUCUUAAGAACAGCAGAGUCAUAAUCAGUCACAUUUAUAUGGAAGCAUCGUCAAGUAGUGUAGAUUCAAGUUUGUUUAAAUCAUGACCCCUGAGAGUAGGGUGGGACCAUUAUGAACAAUCAAUACCUAGGAAUACAUAGGAAAAAUCCUUAAAAUAUAUUUCUCAAGAACAGCAGAGCCAUAAUAAUUCAUUUUGU